UACGUAGGGGGCAAGCGUUGUCCGGACUUACUGGGUGUAAAGGGUCCGCAGGCGGGCAUCUAAGUCGGUGGUGAAAUCCUUCAGCUUAACUGAAGAACUGCCUCCGAUACUGGAUGUCUUGAAGACGGGAGAGGGUGACGGAAUUCCAGGUGUAGCGGUGAAAUGCUUAGAUAUCUGGAAGAACACCGGUUGCGAAGGCUGUUGCCUGGCCCGUUCUUGACGCUCAGGGACGAAAGCGUGGGGAUCAAACAGG
rnacentral:rRNA from 1 species